UCCCGUUUAGCUCAGUGGUAGAGCGCGUCACUAGUAGGAACUGAAAUCGCCUGCGAUGACGAGGUCAGUCGUUCAAGUCGGCUAAUGGGAA